rnacentral:misc_RNA from 1 species
AAGUCGUAACAAGGUUUCCGUAGGUGAACCUGCGGAAGGAUCAUUAACACGUAUCCAACGUUAACCCCCCCGUGAACCUUUAUUGUGGCACGCCUAUCCGUUAGAAAGUGGAAAGUGUCACUAGCUCUGUACGGGUGGCGCAAUCACGAUCGCUAGAGGCCAACACGGCCGGCGACCGGGUCAAUGGGCCCUCGGCCCCCUAGAUCACCCCUUUGCAUGAAAACGGGCCUGCGCUUAAUUGUGCGGCCACCAAACUCGAACAACUGUUAACAAUGGAUAUCUUGGUUCUC